UCUUACCGUUCCUUAACCUCCCUAUUCCACGCCGCCUGCUGCCUUAGCUUCCUUAUUCCUUGGCGUGAGCCCUCCGCCGCCUGCCUCCUCACCUCCACCUAGAUCAAUCCGAUUAGACGAGGAAGCAAUUUCCAUCCUCUCCUACCUCCUUCCGACUUCCAAGCUCUCUUCCCGCAGAAUCCUAGUCGCUUGUACCCACGCCCCACCCCACCCUAAUCCUUUUCCUUGCUUCAAGUCCACCCCUUACCACCGUCGACCUCUUCCCCAUCUUCCUCCCGACAUCAACCAAGCUACUAGUACAAGCUCAUCUCCGAUCGAGACCUCUUCCCUUGGUCGUUUGAAUUCAAGGUUUUGGGAGAGCUCUCGCACCCCAAAGUUCCCUUUUUUGGCUAUUGUUUAGGUUUUUGGGUUGUUGAAUGGCGAUGGAGGAUGCAACAGAGAGUUGCGACAGUUGGGAUGUGGUGGAUUUGGCUCGCAUACAUACUCGGCAGAAACUGCAACACUGUGUAUAACCAGUUCCUUAGCUACCACCAUCUUUACUCCGAUGCAUGCGCCACAUUCACAUUGCGUUGUUGCGGUUCCACGAAGUCACCACCUACACCGCAGGUGCCUGUGCUAUUGCAGCCUAUAGUCACAUAAGUUUAGUAUAUGGAAGAUUCCUAUGAGUGAUUCUUCUAUAGAACUUCCUAAAGGUAAAACUGUACUAAAUUUUUCAGUCUCCAUUUUAUCUCACUGCAUUAGGAAGCAUGCUUGAUGGAAAUUGUAUAACUUUUUUUUGUUAUCAUUUUUUUGGCUUGUCAGAAAUUGGGGCAAUGACUUUUUUUGGUUAAGUAAGAAUUUCGUUAGACAUAAAGUUGAUAUUUGUUCUUGUUCUUGAUCGUGCUAAUGGAUUACCUAUAUCUAAGGAUUUUGAGCAUGUUAUCCAUUUAGAAUUGCUAAAGUCAAAUUCUAUAACUAAUUCAUCUUUUUAUUGACAUAUUUUCAAUUAGAAAAAAUUUCACAAAAUUAUUGUUCGAAGGAUAUGGAUGCAUUAUGAUACUGUAGGUUUGAAAUAAUUUUAGUAUAGUUUUUUAAGGCUUGGAAUAAUUGUAGUAUGAUUAUUAAAUAAAUUUUUUUAAGGGUAUGGUGCAAUAUAUAAGUUAUAAUUUAAUAGUCAUUCUCAAAUCUUAAUUUAUUUCAUAUUUUUAUUUUAUAUGAUAUCCACAUUAUUGCAUAGAGGAGGUCAAGUGGAUGAGGAUACUUAUGCAAGAGCAAUAUGUAAGUCAUAAAUUAUUUUAUUUUAUUUUACAUUUUGGAAUGAUAUGUUUUUUUUAUCAAAUGCACUAAAUACUAUGAUUAUUUAAGUAGCUACUUUUGAUUCUAAAAAAUUGAUUAUUUAUGUUUUCUUUUUGCUUUUAGUUGUGACUAUUCGAUGUUCAAAUUUCAAUUCAAAAGUCUCUUUUGUAUUUAAUGUUUUUGCUUAUGGGGUUUUUCAGGUUUUACUUGAAAUGCAGGUAGCUUCUUUGAACUGAUGUUGUUGAUAAGAUUGAGUAGUUCCUUGAGGUAAUUAAUAAGAUUGUCUCAACAAACUUGGUUGGUUUGUUACUUUCUACAAGAGAAACAAUUCAUCUCAUGGAGUUUGAAGACAUGCUACUAGUAAGAGGAUGGAGGAAGAAAUUAUUGAAUGAAUAAAUUUGGAGCUCGUUAUCACAAAAAGUAGGAAAGGGAGGAAAAACUUAUCAAGGAAGGUAGACAAAGAGAAGAAAAACUCAAGAAGAUGGUUCGUAAAAUGAUUCAAAAGGUAGAAUAUACAAAUCAAUUUUAUCUAGGAGGAUUUGGUCCCAUGGGCAUCAUGAUCGACAAUGUAAAAAUUAAAUUACUUAUGGUGAGAUUUAAAAAUCUAUACAGUUACUUAUUGUUUGAGUAUUAAUUCAAUUUUGCUUGGAUGAUGUAAAUUUUUUA